GACGAACGCUGGCGGCGUGCCUAAUACAUGCAGGUCGAGCGGAUCUUCAUUAGCUUGCUUUUGAAGAUCAGCGGCGGACGGGUGAGUAACACGUGGGCAACCUGCCUGUAAGACUGGGAUAACUUCGGGAAACCGGAGCUAAUACCGGAUAAUCCUUUUCCUCUCAUGAGGAAAAGUUGAAAGACGGUUUCGGCUGUCACUUACAGAUGGGCCAGCGGCGCAUUAGCUAGUUGGUGAGGUAACGGCUCACCAAGGCGACGAUGCGUAGCCGACCUGAGAGGGUGAUCGGCCACACUGGGACUGAGACACGGCCCAGACUCCUACGGGAGGCAGCAGUAGGGAAUCUUCCGCAAUGGACGAGAGUCUGACGGAGCAACGCCGCGUGAGCGAUGAAGGCCUUCGGGUCGUAAAGCUCUGUUGUCAGGGAAGAACAAGUACCGGAGUAACUGCCGGUACCUUGACGGUACCUGACCAGAAAGCCACGGCUAACUACGUGCCAGCAGCCGCCGUAAAAC
rnacentral:rRNA from 1 species